AUUCCAGCUCCAAUAGCGUAUAUUAAAGUUGUUGCAGUUAAAAAGCUCGUAGUUGGAUUUCUGUUCUCGAGGAUCGGUCCGCCUCACGGUGAGCACUGGUUUUUCUUGGGGACAUCCUCUCGAAGGCGGGUGGUGCACUUAAUUGUGUGCUGCUUGGAUUCGGGACCUUUACUUUGAAAAAAUUAGAGUGUUCAAAGCAGGCGUCGGCUUGAAUACAUUAGCAUGGAAUAAUGGAAUAGGACUUUGGUUCUAUUUUGUUGGUUUCUAGGACCGAAGUAAUGAUUAAUAGGGACAGUUGGGGGCAUUAGUAUUUAAUUGUCAGGGGUGAAAUUCUUGGAUUUAUGAAAGACUAACUACUGCGAAAGCAUUUGCCAAGGAUGUUUUCAUCG
rnacentral:rRNA from 1 species